rnacentral:rRNA from 1 species
GGGUCCGGACACACUGAGGAUUGACAGGCAAUAUUAAUACGUUUUGCUUCGGUAAACGCGUAUUAUGUUAAAUAUGCUAGUCCUUUCAUGAUUAUGUGAUAGGUGGUGCAUGGCCGUUCUUAGUUCGUGGAGUGAUCUGUCUGCUUAAUUGCGUUUCACUAAGGGCCUAUAAAUUUACGUGUGUUGCAUCGCACUUUGACCCCUUUCUUUAAUUAGAGAGCGCGUGUCUUAGUUUUCGCUUUGCUCAUACAAUUAGGUCCUGAAAGCAACGAACGUGACCGCAACCUCUUGUUGCCUUUAUACCAAACAUGUUUUGCGUCAAUUUUUACGAAUUGCGCGCAUUUCAUGAAAAAAGGCUUUUUAAACUAGAGGGACCGCUGUUACUUUCUUAAACCAGAGGAAGGUUGCGGCAAUAACAGGUCUGUGAUGCCCUUAGAUGUUCCGGGCUGCAUACGUGCUACAAUGAUUAUUGCAGUGAGCAUCUCAUUUUUACACACCGCAUGCGCGAGUCCAUUUAUUCACCUUCGGGUGUUUUAAAUGUGUAUCUCUGCGCGCGGUAAAGCCUGCUUCGACAGUAAGUGGGU